UACAGAGGGUGCAAGCGUUAAUCGGAAUUACUGGGCGUAAAGCGCACGUAGGCGGUUUUUUAAGUCAGAUGUGAAAGCCCCGGGCUCAACCUGGGAAUUGCAUUUGAAACUGGGAAACUAGAGUGUGUGAGAGGGGGGUAGAAUUCCAAGUGUAGCGGUGAAAUGCGUAGAGAUUUGGAGGAAUACCAGUGGCGAAGGCGGCCCCCUGGCACGAUACUGACGCUCAGGUGCGAAAGCGUGGGGAGCGAACCGG
rnacentral:rRNA from 1 species